GGAACCUUGAGGAGCAUGAAGGAGGGAACCUCUGCUGUGAGGCUGCAGUUAGAGCCAUUUGUUGGAAUCUGUACUCACAGUCUAGCCAGGUAAAAACCUGCUUUCAGAGUCUGCACACUGAUGCCUGUAGCCACAGUCUAUCCAGGUAAAAGCCUGCAGUCAGAGUCUGCACACUGAUGCCUGCAGGCAGAGUUCAGCAGGAAAUAACCAGCAGUCAGAGGCUGCAAGGGAAACCUACAGUAGGAGCUUGCUGCAGCCAGAGUCAGUGAAUGGUUGGAGUCAGCAUGGCUGAGCUGUGAAGAGGAAUAAACCAGGACCCUUUUCAUGCGGUGUUUAACAAGAAGUCUGUGUCUCAGCUCAUCUCUGCCUUCUAACAAGAGGUCUGCUGCAACAAUUUCCAGGCUCUAUGGAGAAGUAAUGGUCAGUGGUGUAAAUCAGCCCUUUUUCUGGGAGAGGAAUCAGAAGCUCCAAGUGAAAUGCAUCCCAUGAGGUAAUCUGGAUGGUUAAGAGGCAUGAGGGAAGGGGGAAGCAAGAGAAGAGAGGUCUUCAUUCACCUGUGUGCUUACGAAUGAUGCUGAGGUGUGAGCUGGUUUGCAAAGUGCACAUUGCCAUUCAAAUAUUUACAGUGUACCUGUAAAGCACCUGGGUGCCACAGGGGUUGAAAUCCCUGCUCUCAUCACUUUUGUAUGGGAGAGAAACACAAGAAGGCUCCAUCUGAAUCAAAAUGACUUUUGCUUUCAGAGAAGGUAGGGGAAGAAAUUUCAGCCUCGGGUUCAGCUGGGGGAUUUAAUCUGGAUUUACACAGGUGGAAUUGAGAAGAAGGGGUCACUGGGUGGCCGAGCAAGUGUAAGAACAACUGGCAGCUGAAGGGGAUGGUCCUGCACCAUCUGCAAGGUCUGCUCAUCCCAGACCGGCUCAGCAAUGGCUUUGCUGCUUCUCUGACUCCUCAGUGAUCCCCCUUGGCUUGUUAAAGAUGAAGGAAAUGCUGUCUUUUGCUGCCAGGCUGCUGAUCCUGCCCGUUUCAGAUUUUUAUUCAGAUAGUUCACAAAAAAAUCUCUCAUUAGGCUGCAAAAGCUCACAUAUCCCGGAAAUGCUUAUAUUUAAAGCGAAUUAACAAGGAAGCUUGUGGGCCUCUAUUGAAGUGCGCGAGGAUCUUUACAAGUAUCUUUUGUUUGUAAAGACAAAUGUGCGAGGACAACUGCUGGAAGCCUAAACACCACUUCUGCUAAUGAGCUGACUCUACGCCAGCCCCAGGACUCACGAUACUUCCCCUUCAGCCUCUGUAAUUAAUAUUCAUUUUUACUUCACGGAAAUCACCCCACACCAGCAUCCCCGAGCUAAUCCCGCUCUCGGAGUCCGCACGGGGUCCGGCGCGCCGCGGUUCCCCUCUGUUUCAGUGAAGUUUGCGGGGUUUUUUCCUCCCUAGCAAGUCAAACCUCCGCAGGUGCGGGGAGCGCAGAGGUGAGGAAGAGCGGGCGAUGCCGGCCGG